GGAGCUUGCUCCCGGAUUCAGCGGCGGACGGGUGAGUAAUGCCUGGGAAUCUGCCUGGUAGUGGGGGAUAACGUCCGGAAACGGGCGCUAAUACCGCGUACGUCCUACGGGAGAAAGCAGGGGAUCUUCGGACCUUGCGCUAUCAGAUGAGCCCAGGCCGGAUUAGCUUGUUGGUGAGGUAAUGGCUCACCAAGGCGACGAUCCGUAACUGGUCUGAGAGGAUGAUCAGUCACACUGGAACUGAGACACGGUCCAGACUCCUACGGGAGGCAGCAGUGGGGAAUAUUGGACAAUGGGGGAAACCCUGAUCCAGCCAUGCCGCGUGUGUGAAGAAGGUCUUCGGAUUGUAAAGCACUUUAAGUUGGGAGGAAGGGCUUGCGGCUAAUACCUGCAAGUUUUGACGUUACCAACAGAAUAAGCACCGGCUAACUCUGUGCCAGCAGCCGCGGUAAUACAGAGGGUGCAAGCGUUAAUCGGAAUUACUGGGCGUAAAGCGCGCGUAGGUGGUUCAGUAAGAUGGAAGUGAAAUCCCCGGGCUUAACCUGGGAACUGCUUUCAUAACUGCUGGGCUAGAGUACGGUAGAGGGUAGUGGAAUUUCCUGUGUAGCGGUGAAAUGCGUAGAUAUAGGAAGGAACACCAGUGGCGAAGGCGACUACCUGGACUGAUACUGACACUGAGGUGCGAAAGCGUGGGGAGCAAACAGGAUUAGAUACCCUGGUAGUCCACGCCGUAACGAUGUCAACUAGCCGUUGGAGUCCUUGAGACUUUAGUGGCGCAGCUACGCACUAAGUUGACCGCCUGGGGAGUACGGUCGCAAGAUUAAAACUCAAUGAAUUGACGGGGGCCCGCACAAGCGGUGGAGCA
rnacentral:rRNA from 2 species